rnacentral:rRNA from 1 species
CGGAGUUUGAUCUGGCUCAGGAUAAACGCUGGCAGCGCACAUAAGACAUGCAAGUCGAACGAACUUAACCAUUAGUUUACUAUUGGAGCGGUUAGUGGCGGACUGGUGAGUAACACGUAAGCAACCUGCCUAUCAGAGGGGAACAACAGUUAGAAAUGACUGCUAAUACCGCAUAUGCCUUAGAAUCACAUGGUUCAAAAGGGAAAAGAGCAAUCCACUGAUAGAUGGGCUUGCGUCUGAUUAG